CGGGUGGUAAUGCCGGAUGCUCCAUCACACCGCAUGGUGUGUUGGGAAAGCCUUUGCGGCAUGGGAUGGGGUCGCGUCCUAUCAGCUUGAUGGCGGGGUAACGGCCCACCAUGGCUUCGACGGGUAGCCGGCCUGAGAGGGCGACCGGCCACAUUGGGACUGAGAUACGGCCCAGACUCCUACGGGAGGCAGCAGUGGGGAAUAUUGCACAAUGGGCGCAAGCCUGAUGCAGCGACGCCGCGUGAGGGAUGGAGGCCUUCGGGUUGUAAACCUCUUUUGUUAGGGAGCAAGGCACUUUGUGUUGAGUGUACCUUUCGAAUAAGCACCGGCUAACUACGUGCCAGCAGCCGCGGUAAUACGUAGGGUGCAAGCGUUAUCCGGAAUUAUUGGGCGUAAAGGGCUCGUAGGCGGUUCGUCGCGUCCGGUGUGAAAGUCCAUCGCUUAACGGUGGAUCCGCGCCGGGUACGGGCGGGCUUGAGUGCGGUAGGGGAGACUGGAAUUCCCGGUGUAACGGUGGAAUGUGUAGAUAUCG
rnacentral:rRNA from 1 species